UAUUUGAAUUUUCAAAAGAAGAAUUUAAAUAGUCAUCAUGGAUAAAAUAAAAACUUAUUUUAAAAAAGGACUUGUAUUGCUAGGUAAUUAUUUUACUAUGUUAUAAAGAUCUACUUAUCACAAAUUUGUAUGUGUAUGUGCAUAUACAUAUAUAAUAUAAAUGUUAAGCACCUGUAUACAGUAAAAUUAGUUUUAGGAGUAUAAAUCUGAUGGUAUUCUCAUUCUCAUUCAUUAGCUUAUUGCUUUGCAUUUUAUUUUUUUGAAAAUUAUGGACAUAGUAUUUCGAAUCUAAGCUUAAACAUUUUAUAAUCCUGCUUCAUGGUAUAUCUAAGUGUAUGUUAUUUUUAAUAUAAAAUUGUUAAGUAGCUCCAUAUGUGUUUCCUCUUCUUUUACCAUGUAUAUAUACAUCUAAAUGAAAAUAGAAUUUCUGUGAUUUUGAAUAUUUAUUAUUCUAAGAGCUUUUUGAAAAUGUCCAGUGUGUAAUUAUAUUUGUAUGUUAUGCAAUAGUCAAAUAAAUGUCGAAAGUGUUCCAUCAUAGUAGCCUGUAAUAAAUUAUGAAAAUUGCUUAGAAAGAAAAAGUAUAAAUGAAGAUAUAAAUUCGUUUAUUUUUUGAACAGCAAUUUGACAAUAAUAGUUGAAAUUCAAGUGUGUAAAUAUUUGAAGUGGUAUAACUUGCUGCUGGGAUUUUAUCUAUUCCAAGUCUCAAAUUUACAAUGAAGAAAGUAUGUUAUAUAUUGAGUAUCAAAUAAUUUGAUUCCUGAUCAAAUAAUUGAGCAUCUGAAAUAUAAGAUCAUAAUGGUUGUAUCUUUCAUCAUAUGAAUAUAAUUUAAACACUGGAAGAUAUUCUCAUGUGAAAGGGUGUUUUAAGUGGAUAUUUUAAAUUAUUUCAUUUUUUGAACAAAUAUCAACUAAUAGUGUGUUUACAGAGGUGUGUCCAUAUGCCUCUCAUUGUUCUAAUGGAAAUGGUAAUAUUUACUAUUCCUGAGGAAUGUAAUUAUCCUGACAUGAUUACAGAGUUAAGUAAUGCUUACUCAUCAGUGUUAUUAUAUUGGUGAUUAUUUUAGCAUUCUUAAGAUUUUUCUACAUGUGUAAGUUAAAUGGUAAAACAUUGUUAGUUAUCUGUAUAUUGCUACCUGACAAUCUGAAAUAAAUAUAUGAAUUGUUGAAAGUUGUCUGGAAGAUCAUACGGCAAAAAUUUAACAUUACUGUGUAGAGAGUUGGGAAUGGAAGGACUGCAUCUGCUUUCUGCAUUGAAAUUUUAAAGAUAUUUCAAAAGGAACAUUAAAACAACAAAAGGGAAUUUUAAAGAUACAACCAAGUUGUGCCUCUCUGUAUCCUUGCCUGUUGACAUCUUGGGAGUAUUGGGCUGUUAUAUCCAAUUUUGUAUUCCCAGUGGCCAUUCUGAAUAGUUUGUGAGUGAUCACGAAGAACGUGUAAUUUAGAGACUCUAGUACAGCAGAGUUAUACACACUGAAACAGUAUUGUGGGAUCCAAGAAGAGAGUAUGGGAGAAGAUGGGAUUUGAGAUGUACAUGAUGAAAAGAAGAGAUUUAUACAUAACCUGAGGACAGCUGACAUCAGGAACAUUCCUCAUGCUAUGGACUUCCUCAAUUUAAAAGACUUAUCUGGGAACCACAGGAGAUGAUAGUUCCAUGAAUACACACUUCUGCCCUCUUUGUUCGUAAUUGCAAGAUUUGGUAUCACCAGACCUCUCAUUGACAGUAUUAUUCAUUCAUGUGUUCUUCACCUCCGAUAUCUGGUCCCAGGAAUACCCCUUGGCGAAAUUAUUAAGGUUAAUUCACGGGAUAUGAGGCCAAGCGUGAAUGCAGACGAAUUCCUUAGACAUUGUUUUUCAGAGCGCCUUGGCUGCCUACCUGUUGAUCCCAGAAUAACCUUAAAGGUGAUGACUUAACAGAAAACUGAUGCUCUUGCUUCUGUCACCAUCUUCAAAUCCAAAAGACAGUCUUCAUAAUGUAUGGAGACUUCUGUUUCAUGUGUUGGAGUGGCUAUUCCUCACAGAUCAGAAAAACUGGACUGAGAAAGCUCAAGUUUGAAAGUCCUAAAGAGUGUCAUUGGAGGGAAUUGUAACCAGGCAUGUUGAAUGUUUUCAUUAUUGACACUGGACUAAAUCUCAGGAGCUUGAAUGUGGGAGAUGUUAUUAUACAGAAAUGCUCAGGAUGGUGUGAUUGCAAGGCUUCAUUUGAGUGUUCCCAUAAGUAUAAAGUGCAUAUAUUUAUAAUUUUCACUUACUACAGGGUAAAUUUAAAAUUGAUUGAUAAAAAAAUUACCUUUUUCCAUAUUUCAAAAGGCACAGAAAUUUGUGAAGGAUAGUAUUUUUUACUUAAAUGCUUUUUUCCCCUCCUAAUUCUACUUCCCAACAUUAUCUACUGUUAAUGGAGUUUUGUGCAUAUGCUUUUGGGGUAUAUUGAUGAACAAAUGGUUACGCUAGUAGUCUUUUGGAUACAUAUAUUAGCUACAAAUUUUCUAGGCAGUUACAUGCUUUAUAUAGAAAUAAUUUUUAAUUUCUCUGGCUAAUUUGUUGAAAACAGUCUUAGCAUUUCCACCUUAUUGGAAUUAAGUAUAUCCAAAAUUUAUAUUCUGAGUCAACAGUAGAAAUUUUCCCCAAAUGGUAUAAAUUGUCCUCAUCAAUCUUGUCUCCCACUAUUUGUUUAUGAGACUUCUGUUUUCUUGAACAGUAGAAACAUAUUUCAAUAUUUUAAUCUUUGAAAAUGUGGUAUUACAAAAAAAUUGCUUUCCUUCCCUUACUGUUCAGUUCAGUCAUCUUCAUAUGUCCUUAAACCUUACUAGUCACUUAUUUCAUUUUCCUCUGUGGGUUUUUUUUUUUUCAUUUCCCUUAGAAUAUUAGUAUUUUUGUUACUGGUUUCUAAAAUAUCAUUUAUGACUAAGGAUGUUAAACAUCUGCCAUGCAUUGCUAAUGAAAUACCAUGUGGUUCUCAUCACCGUUUACUGUGAUGUUUUACUUUUUGGUUGUACAGAAGUUGUGUAUUCAAAUAUAAUAAU